rnacentral:rRNA from 1 species
CAGAGGUCCCAAGCGUUGUUCGGAUUCACUGGGCGUAAAGGGUGCGUAGGUGGUAAGGCAAGUCAGGUGUGAAAUCUCCGGGCUCAACCCGGAAAUGGCAUUCGAAACUACCUUGCUAGAGGGUUUGAGGGGGGACUGGAAUACUUGGUGUAGCAGUGAAAUGCGUAGAUAUCAAGUGGAACACCAGUGGCGAAGGCGAGUCCCUGGAAAAUUCCUGACACUGAGGCACGAAAGCUAGGGGAGCAAACAGGAUUAGAUACCCUGGUAGUCCUAGCCCUAAACGGUGCUUGCUUGCUGUAAGAGGAAUCGACCCCUCUUGUGGCGGAGCUAACGCGUUAAGCAAGCCGCCUGGGAAGUACGGUCGCAAGAUUA